UUAGAGUUUGAUCCUGGCUCAGGAUGAACGCUGGCGGCGUGCCUAAUACAUGCAAGUCGAACGAAUCUCUUCGGAGAUGAGUGGCGAACGGGUGAGUAAUACAUAGGUAACCUGCCCCUGUGCGGGGGAUAACAGGAGGAAACUCCUGCUAAUACCGCAUAGCCAUGAGCACCGCAUGGAGCUCAUGCCAAAUAUCCUUUCGGGGAUAGCGCAGGGAUGGACCUAUGGCGCAUUAGCUUGUUGGCGGGGCAACGGCCCACCAAGGCAACGAUGCGUAGCCGGCCUGAGAGGGCGGACGGCCACAUUGGGACUGAGACACGGCCCAGACUCCUACGGGAGGCAGCAGUAGGGAAUUUUCGGCAAUGGGGGAAACCCUGACCGAGCAACGCCGCGUGAGCGAAGAAGGCCUUCGGGUCGUAAAGCUCUGUUGUAAAGGAAGAACGGCGCAUACAGGAAAUGGUAUGCGAGUGACGGUACUUUACCAGAAAGCCACGGCUAACUACGUGCCAGCAGCCGCGGUAAUACGUAGGUGGCGAGCGUUAUCCGGAAUCAUUGGGCGUAAAGAGGGAGCAGGCGGCCGCAAGGGUCUGUGGUGAAAGACCGAAGCUAAACUUCGGUAAGCCAUGGAAACCGGGCGGCUAGAGUGCGGAAGAGGAUCGUGGAAUUCCAUGUGUAGCGGUGAAAUGCGUAGAUAUAUGGAGGAACACCAGUGGCGAAGGCGACGGUCUGGGCCGCAACUGACGCUCAUUCCCGAAAGCGUGGGGAGCAAAUAGGAUUAGAUACCCUAGUAGUCCACGCCGUAAACGAUGGUCACUAAGUGUCGGGGGUCAAACCCCGGUGCUGCAGUCAACGCAAUAAGUGACCCGCCUGAGUAGUACGUUCGCAA
rnacentral:rRNA from 1 species